ACGUAGGGUGCAAGCGUUAAUCGGAAUUACUGGGCGUAAAGGGUGCGCAGGCGGCUGUGCAAGACAGAUGUGAAAUCCCCGGGCUUAACCUGGGAACUGCAUUUGUGACUGCACGGCUAGAGUUUGUCAGAGGAGGGUGGAAUUCCGCGUGUAGCAGUGAAAUGCGUAGAUAUGCGGAAGAACACCAAUGGCGAAGGCAGCCCUCUGGGACAUGACUGACGCUCAUGCACGAAAGCGUGGGGAGCAAACAG
rnacentral:rRNA from 1 species